CAAUCAUGGCCAAAUCAACACCAAUUCUCCGUCGAAGCCUUUCUGCAGACAACAUUCACGACCCCAGGAUAGUACCGUCAUCCUGUGUGAGUGAAUCCAAAGAAGAGAUGUGCCAGGGUAUGCCGUCUUCUGUCAACUGGAUCAUCGGAUCUAACAACACCAUCAUAUACACGGGAUCUCAGUCAACAGUCAACAACAUCACCGAAAUAGACAGAGAACCCCGAGAAAGCCCUCAAGAUGACAACGAUGACAAUCUGAGGACACUCAUUCAGAAGAUGCUACAGUUAGCGGCACGGAACCUACGGGUGGCACUGAAUGUUGUCAGCGAUUACAGACACCGAUUAUCUGAAU